GGGCUAUUUUGCAUAGGGCUAUGCAUUUUGAUUGCAAAUCAUAAAUACAAGGUUCAACUCCUUGGUACUCCU
rnacentral:tRNA from 1 species